rnacentral:snRNA from 1 species
AUCCGUGUUUCUCUUCAGAUCGUAUAAAUCUUUCGCCUUUUACUAAAGAUUUCCGUGGAGAGGAACACAAAAAAAAGAAUAAAAUUAUUUUGGGGGUACUGGUUGAU